CCUACGGGAGGCAGCAGUGGGGAAUAUUGCGCAAUGGCCGAAAGUCUGACGCAGCGACGCCGCGUGAGGGAUGAAGGUUUUCGGAUCGUAAACCUCUGUCAGGCGGGAAGAAAACGCAUGGCGCCAAUCAGCCAUGCGUUGCCGGUACCUUCAAAGGAAGCGCCGGCUAACUCCGUGCCAGCAGCCGCGGUAAUACGGCGGGCGCGAGCGUUCAUCGGUAUUAUUGGGCGUAACGCGCGCGUAGGCGGUUGUGUACGUUGGGGUUGAAAGCCUACGGCUAAUCCGGGGAAAUGCCCUUGAUACUGCGCGGCUGGAAUGCGGGAGAGGUUGGCGGAAUGUGAGGUGUAGCAGUGAAAUGCGUAGAUAUCUGGAGGAACAGCAGUGGCGAAGGCGGCCACCGGGACCGGUAUUGACGCUGAGGCGCGAAAGCGUGGGGAGCAAACAGGAUUAGAUACCCUUGUAGUC
rnacentral:rRNA from 1 species